rnacentral:lncRNA from 1 species
AAAGCGUCAAAAUUAAUUGACGUCAAAAACUCCAACAAAAGGAAAUGUUCAAUCAUGAACCAUAGCAUGCAUAUUAUUUCAAAUAAAAGUCCACUCACAAAUUAGGCCUAAGCCUGAUGUCGAUCUGGGGUCUCGUCUGCUCGAGCCUCCUCACGUCCUGUUCCAAAUAUAAUAUUAAUUCCCAACCAAAUAAUCCAAUAUUUAAUCAAAAUAGGCAAAAUUACCCGAGAGCCAUAAUUACGCUCAUCAUUGCCUAACUUCGAUAUUCUUACAUCGGAACGAUCCGAACUUAAAUAUCAUACUCAACAGUCGUAAAUACAACCUCUCCAAAAUACGACUUAAAUCCUACGGCCGGAUUCUACAUUAAUUACCCGCCAAAAAUACCACACUUCGGAAAUGCACAAACCUAUCCAAAUCUCAUCCAAAAAUUCCAAAAUUCACCUCAAUAAUAUCCCCUUAAUAUUCUACAUCAAAAACCAGACAAUUUCCCAAAACAGCGGCGGCGCCGCCGGCAGCGGCGGCCGGCGACCAACUCCGGCGACCUGCAAAUGCUACCAAAUUUUAACAGAAUCUUCCUCUCAAUCUCCUCUACAACUUUCAUGACUAACACAUCACCCAAUUCCAAGCCUAACUAGGCUAAUCGAACGAAAACAACUUAAACACCAUAAAACUUCCACCUCAAAUUUCUCCUUACCUAGCUCAAGAGGGAGGGAGCUGCUUGGAGGGGUUGUUGCACGGGAGGAGGGCUACAAAACCGUACCAAGCUUGCCCGGAUUGGUGGCCGGAGGAGGAAGUUCCGGCGAAGUGAAGCCUUGGACAGUCGGACCUUUCGGGUGGCACCGCUCUCUCAUGGCGGAGCUAGGGCUCCUCUCACCGGUCCAGGGAGGUUGCUGGGUUGGAGGUCGACCGAACGGGACCGGUGCGGCGGCGGUUGGUGGCCGGACGGCGGAGGGAGGACGGCUGGAAGUCCGGCGGGAAGAGAGAGCUCGGGGAGAGGAAAAGAAAAGAGGAAAAAAAAGAAAGGGAGGA